UAUGGAUUAAUAAAUCCGAAGAGUGGCGUUAGCUGAACUACCCGAGGGAAAAGUGAAAAUAAAGUGAAAUUCUUGAAAGAAGCAAAGGGAUAGGAGUACUGGAAAAUCUUAAUACAGCCAAGCCGGCCAACCAAUCUACGGUAUCAA